rnacentral:rRNA from 1 species
UACAGAGGUCCCAAGCGUUGUUCGGAUUCACUGGGCGUAAAGGGUGCGUAGGUGGCGGGGUCAGUCUGACGUGAAAUCUCCGGGCUUAACCCGGAAAUGGCGUUGGAAACUACCUUGCUUGAGGGUUGGAGGGGGGACUGGAAUACUUGGUGUAGCAGUGAAAUGCGUAGAUAUCAAGUGGAACACCAGUGGCGAAGGCGGCGACCUGGUCCGAUACUGACGCUGAGGCGCGAAAGCGUGGGGAGCAAACAGG